rnacentral:lncRNA from 1 species
CGAGGACCAGUGUGAGCAAAUCGUUCUCUCUAUCUGCAGUGAACUUUCUUUUUCCCUCCUUAAUUUCUUUCAUUAUCCUUUUCCAAUUCUCCCUGGGUAUCCUAAGACCGUCACUGCAGAUGAGGUCCCCUGUUUUUUGUCGUACGAACCACCAUGCGCAAGGAACCAAUUUCUUGCUCUCAAUUCCCACUCAUCACGGAGUUCUUCCUCUUCGAUGUUCCUGAUAUGUUGUGACAACC